rnacentral:rRNA from 1 species
CCUACGGGUGGCAGCAGUGGGGAAUAUUGGGCAAUGGGCGCAAGCCUGACCCAGCAACGCCGCGUGAAGGAAGAAGGCCCUCGGGUUGUAAACUUCUUUUAACAGGGACGAAGAAAGUGACGGUACCUGUUGAAUAAGCCACGGCUAACUACGUGCCAGCAGCCGCGGUAAUACGUAGGUGGCAAGCGUUAUCCGGAUUUACUGGGUGUAAAGGGCGUGUAGGCGGGAGAGCAAGUCAGACGUGAAAUUCCAGGGCUCAACCCUGGAACUGCGUUUGAAACUGUUCUUCUUGAGUGCAGGAGAGGUAAGUGGAAUUCCUAGUGUAGCGGUGAAAUGCGUAGAUAUUAGGAGGAACACCAGUGGCGAAGGCGGCUUACUGGACUGUAACUGACGUUGAGGCUCGAAAGCGUGGGGAGCAAACAGGAUUAGAUACCCUGGUAGUC